GGCAUGUCGGGCCCCAGGCCUGUGGUGCUGAGCGGGCCUUCGGGAGCUGGGAAGAGCACCCUGCUGAAGAGGCUGCUCCAGGAGCACAGCGGCAUCUUUGGCUUCAGCGUGUCCCGUGAGUCCAGGGCUCUUGUGGAGGGGUGCGUAGACCUCAAGGCUGCUGAGUAGUCCUAGCACUGUGAGCAGGCCAGGAGCCCAAACCCAACAGGCACACCCACCCUGCAGACUGUCCGAACUCUUGCACACUCCCCCCCCACACAGAACCUGAGGUUAUCACACUCCUGCUGUCCUGCGUGCCUGUGUCUCCCUUCCCUGGGUCUGUUGAGUACUGAUAACUGGGCCACAGUGUUUCUUUCUGGGAGAACCCUCGCCUUGUAGGCUCCUGCGCCUUCCCAGUGGUGUGCUCCACUGGCUGCCUGCAUCCUGGGGCUCAAGUGCUGUCAGGACUGCAAGGGAAAUGCUGGGUGGGGCACUGGGCUCCGAGCAGCCCCCGAUGGGUGACAGGUCUCUCUGCUAGAUACCACGAGGAACCCGAGGCCCGGCGAGGAGAACGGCAAAGAUUACUACUUUGUAACCAGGGAGGUGAUGCAGCGUGACAUAGCAGCCGGCGACUUCAUCGAGCAUGCCGAGUUCUCGGGGAACCUGUAUGGCACGAGCAAGGUGGCGGUGCAGGCUGUGCAGGCCAUGAACCGCAUCUGUGUGCUGGACGUGGACCUGCAGGGUGUGCGGAACAUCAAG
rnacentral:sRNA from 1 species